CACUUAGGAAUCUACCUAGUAGUGGGGGAUAGCUCGGGGAAACUCGAAUUAAUACCGCAUACGACCUACGGGAGAAAGGGGGCAGUUUACUGCUCUCGCUAUUAGAUGAGCCUAAGUUGGAUUAGCUAGUUGGUGAGGUAAAGGCUCACCAAGGCGACGAUCCAUAGCUGUUCUGAGAGGAAGAUCAGCCACACUGGAACUGAGACACGGUCCAGACUCCUACGGGAGGCAGCAGUAGGGAAUAUUGCACAAUGGGCGAAAGCCUGAUGCAGCCAUGCCGCGUGUGUGAAGAAGGCCUUA
rnacentral:rRNA from 1 species